CAGUCUCGUGCCUCGCUCGAUCCGUUCCCUCUGCCACUGGGCCGAUCUUGAGCUGGAUGCCUCCCGGCGUCGCAUCCCCCUCCUUCUGUCCCUGUUCUCGCGAGAGGCGGGGGCGAGUGUCGAGGGGACAUCGAUGCACGUCGGCGGGUAACAGACGAUAUCAAGCUAUUCUAAUCGUAUGGCGUUCAACGAUCUUUGAGUACGCUCCCGGUCCCGAGUUGUAUAACUCCAUGACCGAACGGCGUAAUUUAUCUGUUGACACAUUG
rnacentral:snoRNA from 1 species